UAAUGUAAAAUUGUUCAUUAAUUGGUUAUUGUAUUCAUAAAAUUUUGAGUUUAACUGUGAGUCAAAAUACUGAUGCAAUCAAGAAAAUUAUCCAAGUAUUUUAAGCUGUCUUGAGGUGUAUGAUUUGACCCAAUUUGUUUCUAUUUUAAUACCCUAGUGCUUUUCAUCAAUUCACCAAAAUGCUGUUACGUCACUGUGCCAAAAUAUUGCUCCUUCAACAUGCAUAAUUAAUCAAUUCUUUGUUUGCUCCUCUGAAUGCCCUGUUACACAUUAAUCAUGUCUCAAGGUUUUUUUGGUUGGUUCAUGAAUAUCGGGUUGAUUUGAGAAUCAAGUAACACAUACUCGAUUCUAAUUGGUUAAUGUAAUUGACGAGUGGAAUUACUAUGCUUCUGGUCUAGUCUUCUUUGUCAUCUUGAAGCAGGUGUAUUUGCUAAGUCAGUGUCGAGACGCCCUUGACCUGUUUGUUAAAAUGCCUGAAAGUGAUUAGAAGUAUGUUAUAUGUAAAUUUCAAGUACUGUAGUUCAGUGAACUAAAUUUAGCAUCUUUUAGUUCGUCUAUUAGUAGGCUAAAUAGGACAAAAAAGUGAAAAACAAGAUGAUUUUGAUUCUGAUUUCCUUAACUCCUUAUGAUUGCCAUUGUGUCAAUUUGAGUUAAUUGUAUACGAUAUUCUUCUUUAUAAGUUUUUUUUAACGACUAACUAAGGAUUUAUCUUCUUUUUUUCCCUUCAAUUGUAGGGUCCGAGAUCAUGCAGCUUGGAGAAGAAAUUUUGUAUGCUUUUUCUAGUUCAAUGAAAAGCACCCCCUUGUUGUCUAAACAGGUGCACUAAUUCUGUUAAUUAUUUAUUUUUGUCAAAGGAAAGGGGAGCCUUGGACCAACAGUAAAAUUGUCUCCAUGUUUCGAGCCGUGGAAGCCGCCAUUAAUGCUUGCAUUAGGGUAGGCUGUCUACAUCAUACUUCUUAGGAUGCAGCCCGUCCCCAAUCCCUGCGUGAAUACGGGAUGCUUUGUGCAUCAGACUGUCCUUUUCUUAUUUUUGUCAAGCUAAAGGGAUCAAAAAGUCAGUCCUUCUUCCCGGUUUACUGUCACAAGCAACAUUCCAGGGUGAGGGUGAUGGUGAACUGAGAUGCACAUUCCAGGGUGACGGUGAAGGUGUUGGCAAAUUUAUCAGUGAUUGCUUUGCUUCAGAACCUUCAAGUACUCAAACUGAAAAACAUUAAAUUUGACAAUAAGGAAUGGGAAGUGAGCAAUGGCGAAUUACUUCAGCUCAAAGUCUUGAAACUGCAAAAAAUAAGUUGCUUCAAAGAAUGGGUUGUCGCCUUUCCUAACCUUGUACGCUUGGUUUUGCAUAAUUGCAGAUAUCUUAAGGAGAUCCCUUCUUGUUUCGGGGACAUCUCUUCUCUAAAAUCCAUUGAGGUAGAGCGUUGCGACGAAUCUGUUUUCGAAUCAGCUAGGGAAAAUUUAUCAGAAUUAUGGCUUGGAGCUCUUCAUUCACUAGAGAGAAGGAUAACAAUUCAGAUUCAGGGUUUGAAGAGCUGAAUCAGGAGCAGUUUAGAAGAUCAGUAUCUAUUUCUUUAUUUAGCUUAACAAAUUCAGUAAAAUUGUCCAAUUAGUUGUUGCUUUCAUUGAAAAUACUUUUCAUAGUUUAACUUUCAGCAAAUUGUUGAUUCAAUAAUCACAAUAUAUUUCUGAGUA